GCAUAUGGAGGUUCCCAGGCUAGGGGAUGAAUCGGAGCUGUAGCCGCCAGCCUACACCACAGCCACAGCAACACCGGAUCCUUAACCCACUAAGUGAGGCCAGGGAUCGAACUCGAGUCGUCAUGGAUACUAGUCGGAUUCGUUACCGCUGAGCCACUUCAGGAACUCCCUACCAUGCCAUUCUUAGUUCACUGGCCCACGCAAAACCUGGCAGAGGUUACCAUAUGCCCCCUCACUUCCACUCCUAGUUACAUAUCCAGAAGAGUGAAAAUAGAGACGGAGACAAAUAAUUGUAUGCUAUUACUCACAGCAACGUUAUUCUCAAUAGCCAGAAGGUGAAAACUGGAGCUUCUGCCGUGACACCACAGGAUCGGCAGUGUCUCUGAAGCGCUGGCAACUCCUUAAGUUGUAAGGUGUCCUAUAGCAUGCUCGGAUUUCUUACCGCUACGCCAUGAUGGGAACUCCUGGAUAGGCAGUGUUGAUGGUCAUUUCCCGUUGCUGCAAAACAAAUGUCCACAAACUUACUGGCUUGAAACCGCACCAUGUAUCAUUUCAUGCGCAGUUCAGGCCUCAGAAGGCCAGGCGUGGUGUGCCUGGGCUCGGGGCGCACAGUCCCACAGGGUGAGAUCAAUACAGUCUCAUUAGGGGCUUCCAGCCUCUCCCAACCUCCCCGGGUCUCAGCAGGAUUCAGUUCCUUGCGACGGCAGGACUGAGGGCCCGUUGUCUUGCUGGCUGUUGGCUGGGGUCCGUUCUCAGCUCCGAAAGGCCAUCCUCAGGUCCUUGUCCUAGGGCACCUCCAUCUGAGUGUCCCACACAUGGCCUCCCCCUCUCGCUCUGAAUCUCUUCCCGCCUUUUCCGCAGCAGCAGCAGAAAGCUCUGCCUUUCCGGGGCCUGUGUGAGUAGAUCAGGGCCGCCUGGACAACCUCUCGCAAGGGCAGCUGCACCAAGUAAGAACAUCAUCACAGGAACGACAUAUUUAUUCAGAUGCCACCCACCCUCUUUCGUCUUUUCUUUUUUUUUAGGGCCACACCCGUGGCAUAUGGAGGUUCCCAGGCUAGGGGGCCAGUUGGAGCUGUAGCUGCCGGCCUACACCACAGCCACAGCAAUGCCGGAUCCUUAACCCACUGAGCGAGGCCAGGGAUCGAACCCAUGUCCUCGUGGAUACUAGUCAGGUAUCCAGAUUCUGCCCACUAUCAAUGAGAGGGAGUCCACGAGGGCAAAGGUCACUGGGGGGGGGUCAUAGGAGAAUUCUGCUCCCACAGAUGGGGGGACCUGAAGGAGGUGAGAGAAAGCUAAUGAACUUCCCCAAGGACGUACAGAGAAUUGGAGAUGGGGCCUGAAAAGAAGUCUAGGGCCUCAAACUUAAUUUGAGGACUUUUCCUCUACGCAAAUAUGCCAGGAGCGGGGGAUGGACGAACCUGAUGGCCUUUUCAGCCCUGGUUGGUCUUUGAGGUCCCAGCCUGCUUGGGGGCAGUGGGGGUGGGGGUAGGGGUGGUGUGUAUCCCAGCUGUUGGAGCAGAGAGGAGACUCCAGAGAACCAAAAAGCCUCUGCCCAGGAGAGUAUCCUGAAUGCUCCUAGAAAGGCAGAAUGGGGGUCAGACGCCUCUGAUGGGUUUGGAGCAAACCUCAUUAUCUGGCAAUGCCCUGGUCCCUUUUCCUACCCUAGUCUCAAGGAGACCUCUGGCCACCAAGGCUGGGAUCCCCAACCACUAGGGGGCGCCCGACACACGCCAUGUUUUUGUGCAAGCUGAGCCUGAACAGGAUUGGGGAACCCAAGGCAGGUAUUGGGGUAGAAGGCUGAUGGCACACCUCCCCACAGCCCCACAGCCCUGCAGAUCCCAAGGCACCAGGCUUGUCUGGUUGCCCACAUACCCUGACCCCCCCAACAGAUGCCCACUUCCUUGUAAUAACUGAGUCUGGUUCACUUUGCUCACAAGCAAGUCCUUCGAAAGGGGAAGGGAGUCCCCCUGUGACAUGUCUCCUUUCCCCCCGACUUUGUUCCCACACCCCCAGGUUUCCAGGCCUGAGGCUGAAGCCCACAGGGAGGGCUCCUGCCCUUCCCUCCC
ensembl:lncRNA